UCCCCAGGACAUUCCCACCUGGACACCGGACAGCAGCAGUAACUACUUCUUGAGCUGCUUCAGGAGGCUCUUCAGGUCUGAGAUCUCACGCCAGAUGUCCAGACAAGAGAGGGAGCACGGAAGGGAGAAAAAUGCCAAUGACCCCAGGGAUGCCAUGGUGGCAGAAGCUUGAGGACAUUUCUUGAUAUUCUUAGUUUCUGAAUGUUUUCACCAUGAAUUAGUGCUGAAUUUUGUCAAAUGUUUUUUCUGUGCCUAUUGAGAUCAUUAUGUGAUGCGUUUUUCUCCCUUUAUUUUAUUAAUGUGGUGUGUUCCAUUGAUUGUUUUAGACAUAUUGAACUACCCUUUUAUUCCUGGGUGAGUACCACUUGAUUCUGACAUACAA